rnacentral:rRNA from 1 species
UGAGUAACCUGCCCUUAACUCUGGGAUAAGCCUGGGAAACUGGGUCUAAUACCGGAUAUGACUCCUCAUCGCAUGGUGGGGGGUGGAAAGCUUUAUUGUGGUUUUGGAUGGACUCGCGGCCUAUCAGCUUGUUGGUGAGGUAACGGCUCACCAAGGCUUCGACGGGUAGCCGGCCUGAGAGGGCGACCGGCCACACUGGGACUGAGACACGGCCCAGACUCCUACGGGAGGCAG